rnacentral:snRNA from 1 species
GGAUGUGAGGGCGAUCUGGCUGCGACAUCUGUCACCCCAUUGAUCGCCAGGGUUGAUUCGGCUGAUCUGGCUGGCUAGGCGGGUGUCCCCUUCCUCCCUCACCGCUCCAUGUGCGUCCCUCCCGAAGCUGCGCGCUCGGUCGAAGAGGACGACCUUCCCCGAUAGAGGCGUACCGUUCUUCGGUCAAGGGUAUAUGAGUAGCUGCGCUCCCCUGCUAGAACAAGCUCCCAAGGUCCAUUUGUAUUUCACUUCAGCUACUAAAAUGGGCCUUACCUCCUGUUAGGGGCAGGCA